GCAUAUCAAUAAGCGGAGGAAAAGAAACCAACAGGGAUUGCCCUAGUAACGGCGAGUGAAGCGGCAACAGCUCAAAUUUGAAAUCUGGCCCUUUCAGGGUCCGAGUUGUAAUUUGCAGAGGGCGCUUUGGCAUUGGCAGCGGUCCAAGUUCUUUGGAACAGGACGUCACAGAGGGUGAGAAUCCCGUACGUGGUCGCUAGCCUUUGCUGUGUAAAGCCCCUUCGACGAGUCGAGUUGUUUGGGAAUGCAGCUCUAAAUGGGAGGUAAAUUUCUUCUAAAGCUAAAUACUGGCCAGAGACCGAUAGCGCACAAGUAGAGUGAUCGAAAGAUGAAAAGCACUUUGGAAAGAGAGUCAAAUAGCACGUGAAAUUGUUGAAAGGGAAGCGCUUGCAGCCAGACUUGCCUGUAGUUGCUUAUCUGGACUUUUGUCCAGUGCACUCUUCUGCGGGCAGGCCAGCAUCAGUUUGGGCGGUUGGAUAAAGGUCUCUAUCACGUACCUCUCUUCGGGGAGGCCUUAUAGGGGAGACGUCAUGCAACCAGCCUGGACUGAGGUCCGCGCAUCUGCUAGGAUGCUGGCGUAAUGGCUGUAAGCGGCCCGUCUUGAAACACGGACCAAGGAGUCUAACAUCUAUGCGAGUGUUUGGGUGUCAAGCCCAGACGCGUAAUGAAAGUGAACGGAGGUGGGAACCCUUUGGGUGCACCAUCGACCGAUCCUGAUGUCUUCGGAAGGAUUUGAGUAAGAGCAUGGCUGUUGGGACCCGAAAGAUGGUGAACUAUGCUUGAAUAGGGUGAAGCCAGAGGAAACUCUGGUGGAGGCUCGCAGCGGUUCUGACGUGCAAAUCGAUCGUCAAAUUUGGGCAUAGGGGCGAAAGACUAAUCGAACUAUCUAGUAGCUGGGUC
rnacentral:sRNA from 1 species